rnacentral:rRNA from 1 species
GUGAGGAAUAUUGCGCAAUGGAGGCAACUCUGACGCAGCCAUGCCGCGUGCAGGAAGAAGGCGCUACGCGUUGUAAACUGCUUUUAACCGGGAAGAAACCCCAGGACGUGUCCUGGGUUGACGGUACCGGAGGAAUAAGCACCGGCUAACUUCGUGCCAGCAGCCGCGGUAAUACGAAGGGUGCAAGCGUUAUCCGGAUUCAUUGGGUUUAAAGGGUGCGUAGGCGGAGCGUUAAGUCAGUGGUGAAAUCCUGCAGAUUAACUGUAGACUUGCCAUUGAUACUGGCGCUCUUGAGUGCGCUUGAAGUGGGCGGAAUGUGCCGUGUAGCGGUGAAAUGCUUAGAUAUGGCACAGAACACCAAUUGCGAAGGCAGCUCACUAAGGCGAUACUGACGCUGAGGCACGAAAGCGUGGGGAUCGAACAGGAUUAGAUACCCGGGUAGUCC